UACGAAGGGGGCUAGCGUUGCUCGGAAUCACUGGGCGUAAAGCGCACGUAGGCGGAUUGUUAAGUCAGGGGUGAAAUCCUGGAGCUCAACUCCAGAACUGCCUUUGAUACUGGCGAUCUUGAGUCCGGGAGAGGUGAGUGGAAUUCCUGGUGUAGCGGUGGAAUGCGCAGAUAUCAGGAGGAACACCAAUGGCGAAGGCAGCUCUCUGGUACGUGACUGACGCUGAGACGCGAAAAGCGUGGGUAGCAAACAGG
rnacentral:rRNA from 1 species